rnacentral:lncRNA from 1 species
AAGUGAAAUAAUAAAAGGAGCAAUGCUAUCCAUGCCUACUCAGAUGCAAGCUCUACAGAAUAAAGUGGGAAUUACUCCAAGGUAAGUGGGGUUGGGAUUGCAGUCUAAAUCUUUCUCUUCACAUAAUCAGCAUCAUGGUCCAAAUUGUAUUACAUGGUACCUUGGUGCACAGAGCUUAAACUAUCUAAAUCAUCAUGCAAAAGAAUAAUACCUAAGAAUAUUUGAGAGUCAAAUGGGGGGUGGUCCUCACAACUAAGAGCAUUCACCUGCUAUGUUGUUGUUGUUGUUGUUGUUGUUGUUGUUGUUGUUGUUGUUGUUGUUUCAGUUUCAAAUUAUAUACUACCCUUUAUCCCAAGGAUCCCAAGGCAGUGUACAACAUUAAAAACACAUUACAGAACAUCAAUGAUAAAACAUAUUAUUUAAAAGCAUAUUAGAACCUUCCUUCUGUUUGUGGGAGAGAUGAUAGUCUAUGGUUGUCCCAUUGUGCCUGGUCUCUUACAUUUGCCCUUUCUCUACAGGGAGGAGGCUAGAAUGGAAUUUGAGAACCUCACCUCCGUCACAGAGUUCAUCUUGGUGGGGCUCUCCAACCACCGCAAGACACAGAUUCUCCUCUUUGUGGUCAUCCUCAUAUUCUACUCAUUUACCUUUUUGGGGAACCUGGUUAUCAUCAUGCUGGUGCUGGCCGACCCCCGCCUCCAUACACCUAUGUACUUCUUCCUGACUCAACUCUCUGGCCUGGAGAUAUGUUAUGUCACCUGCACUGUGCCCCAGAUGUUGGCUCAUCUCUUGUCUGGGAAUGGAGCUAUCUCCUUUGCCCGUUGUGUGACCCAGAUGUACCUUGGGCUGUCCCUGGGGAGCACCGAAGCUCUUCUGCUUGGUGCCAUGGCUUAUGACCGCUAUGUGGCCAUCUGCCAGCCAUUGGUCUACGCUGUUGCCAUGGAUAAGUGGCACCAGUUGCAGCUUUCCUCAGGCUCCUGGGCAGGUGGCUUCCUGCUCUCCCUGAUGAAUGUGGCCUGCACUCUUCGCUUCCCCUUCUGUGGCCCCAACCUCAUUAAUCACUUCUUUUGCGAGAUGCCAGUAGUGUUGAAACUUGCAUGUGCUGACACCCGUGUUACGGAGGCUGUCGUUUUUGGAGCAGCUGUGAUUAUCCUUCUAGUGCCCCUUUCUGUUAUCCUGACCUCUUACGGACUCAUUCUGUCUUCUGUGUUACAAAUGAAGUCAGCUGCUGGUCGGAGCAAAGCUUUCUCUACAUGUGCUUCCCACCUGGCAGUGGUCACCUUGUUCUACGGCACUGUUAUUUCUAUGUAUAUGAGACCCAGGUCGGGGACAACUCCAGACAGUGACAAGAAAAUUGCUUUUUUCUACAUUGUGGUCACCCCACUUCUCAACCCUAUCAUUUAUACCUUGAGGAACAAGGAUGUCCAUGGGGCAGUGGCCAAAUUGCUACAAAGAGUGUCUUGGAAGAAGAAAGGAUGAGUGUUGCCAUCCUGCAUGUUGGCUUGGAUGUUAUCCAAGGGCUGAGAGGGAUUGAUUUUUACGUCUGGCAUUCACAUGUCAUAUCAAUUCUCUGUUCAGCCUUGAAAUCCAAUUAGUGGUCUGUUGGGCAAAGAAGGGAAAGAUAGUAGUUCAUGUUUUGCAUACACAAGGUCGCAGGUUCAGUCCCUGGUAUUUCCAGUUACAGCUGGGUUCUUGUCUGGAACCAUGGAUUGCUACUGCCAGUAUCGUGUAGAGAGCCUUCCCCAAUGGUGUUUUGGAAUCCAACUCCCAUCAGCCUCAGCCAGAAUGGCUGAUGAUUAGGAAUGAUGGCUGUUUAAGUCCAAAACAUCUGGAGAAUACCAGGUUUGGGAAACCUUGUGCAGAUGACAGAUAGAUAGAUAAAUGAUCAGACUUGGUGGAAUAAGAAAAAAGUUUUAUAAUAUUGCAUAAAAAGUUUUUUUAUAGCAAAUUAUUUGUGAUAACAAGAGACUUAGAGGGAGGGGUGCACAAUGUCAUUGGUCCCAACACCUUUAUCUCAAAGCUGGACUAUGAAGGAUCCCCAUCUGAAACAAUGGAGAGCCAUUACCGGUUAGUGUAGACGGUACAGAGUCUGAUGAACCAAUGUUCUGGCUUGGUAUAGGGCAGCCUCUUAUUUAAUGGCCAUCAAGAGGAGGCCAUCAAGUCAAGGAGGCCUUAAAGUAAGGAAGACACUGGCAUAAAAGAAGAAAAGUUUUGCAUAGUUUCUACUUCUAUACAUGGCAUGAAACUGGGCAGAAUUUCUAAAUCAGGCUGUUGACAAAAGAAGGAGGUUCAAAAAGCAGACAGAAGCUUCCAGUUCCAUAGAGUAGUCAACAUUUCCCCCAUCUUGUAUUGCCAACUGAAAAAGGUGGCGUGCUUUUCUUCAGCUUUGCAGAAUAAAGUUGUAAGUUGGUAUCCUUCCUGGUGGCUAGCCAACUAUCUUGGCAAACUCCACACCAUAGUACUUUUACGGGGAAAGGCAAAACAGGGUCUUCAUGAAGAUGUCAUGCUAAACCAUGUCUUGCUUUUUUUAAAAAAAACCCCAUCUGUAAUGCAUGUCCAUGUGUUCAGUAGCACCUACACAUCCUUAGAAGCACCCAACUUCUCACACAGGGCUGAGAGUGACAAAAGGAACCUCCAAGUGUGGUGCCUGUUAGUACAAAUGUGCCCACCAGUAGCUCCAGUGGCAAACAGGGGAAGUAUGAGUAAAUAUUCCCUGGAAAAUCUACACUGCUAGAGAAAUUGAUUUCAGCUUAUGUAGUGUGAGAACAAGGAUAAGGUGCUUGGAGGAAGUUUGUCCCUCUUGAUCCUUUCGUAAAAUAAACCACAGGAGACUGGCUGAAUGAAAUCAGGCUAUGCUUCCUACUCAUCAUAGCGAGUGGUGCUAGGCACCUUGAAAGUGGUAAUCAUGCACCCAAGGCAUGAUGAGACAAGAGGAUCUCUCUCUCUACAUUAAAAUAUAUGGGGACACUUGCUCCAUUUCUCAGUGUUAGUUUUGCUUUCAGCAGGGGUCGACCGCAAUGUGGAACUCCCCAACAAAAACUCAGCAGUUCAGCCAAUACCAGCAAGCUUGAAGUCAGUGCCUAUCAGCAGAUCAGGACUAAUUUGAAGCUGGUAAUAUGGACAAUAUGGAUGGAUAUAAAAUACAGAUUAUGUAAUAAUAUGUCGUUGAAAAUGUUCACAUUAGGACCCAUGGAAGGGAUGGGGGGUGUCGUGAGUUUCAGAGAAAUCUCUUUAUAUG